GUGGGGGAUAUUGCACAAUGGGGGAAACCCUGAUGCAGCAACGCCGCGUGAAGGAAGAAGGUCUUCGGAUUGUAAACUUUUGUCUUGCGGGACGAAUAAUGACGGUACCGCAGGAGGAAGCCACGGCUAACUACGUGCCAGCAGCCGCGGUAAUACGUAGGUGGCGAGCGUUGUCCGGAAUUACUGGGUGUAAAGGGUGCGUAGGCGGAUUUGCAAGUCAGGUGUGAAAACUAUCGGCUUAACCGGUAGCCUGCACUUGAAACUGUAAGUCUUGAGUGGUGAAGAGGUAAGCGGAAUUCCUAGUGUAGCGGUGAAAUGCGUAGAUAUUAGGAGGAACACCAGUGGCGAAGGCGGCUUACUGGGCACUAACUGACGCUGAGGCACGAAAGCAUGGGGAGCAAACAGGAUUAGAAACCCGUGUAGUCC
rnacentral:rRNA from 1 species